rnacentral:piRNA from 1 species
UGCCCGACAACAGACGCCUUUGGCCAAUGU